rnacentral:rRNA from 1 species
CCUACGGGCGGCUGCAGUGGGGAAUAUUGGACAAUGGGGGGAACCCUGAUCCAGCCAUGCCGCGUGUGUGAAGAAGGCCCUCGGGUUGUAAAGCACUUUCAGUGAGGAAGAACGCCUGGUGGUUAAUACCCAUCAGGAAAGACAUCACUCACAGAAGAAGCACCGGCUAACUCCGUGCCAGCAGCCGCGGUAAUACGGAGGGUGCGAGCGUUAAUCGGAAUUACUGGGCGUAAAGCGCGCGUAGGUGGCUUGAUAAGCCGGUUGUGAAAGCCCCGGGCUCAACCUGGGAACGGCAUCCGGAACUGUCAAGCUAGAGUGCAGGAGAGGAAGGUAGAAUUCCCGGUGUAGCGGUGAAAUGCGUAGAGAUCGGGAGGAAUACCAGUGGCGAAGGCGGCCUUCUGGACUGACACUGACACUGAGGUGCGAAAGCGUGGGUAGCAAACAGGAUUAGAUACCCAAGUAGUC